rnacentral:rRNA from 1 species
CAGCAGUCGCCGCGGGAAUACAGAGGGUGCGAGCGUUAAUCGGAUUUACUGGGCGUAAAGCGUGCGUAGGCGGCUUUUUAAGUCGGAUGUGAAAUCCCUGAGCUUAACUUAGGAAUUGCAUUCGAUACUGGGAAGCUAGAGUAUGGGAGAGGAUGGUAGAAUUCCAGGUGUAGCGGUGAAAUGCGUAGAGAUCUGGAGGAAUACCGAUGGCGAAGGCAGCCAUCUGGCCUAAUACUGACGCUGAGGUACGAAAGCAUGGGGAGCAAACAGGAUUAGAGACCCGCGUAGUCCCUGUCUCUUAUAC